rnacentral:tRNA from 1 species
GCCCUAGUAGCUUAAACACCAACAAAGCAUUGACCUUGUAAAUCAAAAAUGGGUAAUCAUCACCCCUAGAGCA